AGAGUUUGAUCCUGGCUCAGAACGAACGCUGGCGGCGUGGCUAAGACAUGCAAGUCAAACGGACUAUCCAAUUGAGUAAUCGAGCGGAUAGUUAGUGGCGAAAGGGUGCGGAAUAAAUAGGUAACGUACGCCGGACAUCGGGAUAGCGUCAUUUACCUUCGGGUAAAUUUCCGAAAGGGACGGUAAUACCGUAUGAUAUCAUUUAUCAUAAGAUAUAUGAUCAAAGAUUUAUCGGUCUGGGAGCGGCCUAUUUCCUGUCAGCUUGUUGGUGAGGUAACGGCUCACCGAGGCAUCGACGGGUAGCGGGACUGAGAGGUUGGCCCGCCACAUUGGGACUGAGACACUGCCCAGACCCCCACGGGGGGCUGCAGUAACGAAUAUUGCGCAAUGGACGAAAGUCUGACGCAGCGACGCCGCGUGUAGGAUGAAGCUUCUCGGAGUGUAAACUACUGUCAGGGGUUAGAAAGUGCACUUCGGCGUAUUGAUCAGCCCCAGAGGAAGUCACGGCUAACUUCGUGCCAGCAGCCGCGGUAAUACGAAGGUGGCAAGCGUUGUUCGGAAUCACUGGGCUUAAAGCGCGCGUAGGCGGAAAUACAAGUGUCUUGUGAAAUCCCCCGGCUUAACCGGGGAAUUGCUUGGCAAACUGUAUUUCUUGAGGCAAGUAGGGGUACAUGGAACUCUUGGUGGAGCGGUGGAAUGCGUAGAUAUCAAGAGGAACGCCAAUGGUGAAGACAGUGUACUGGGCUUGUCCUGACGCUGAGGUGCGAAAGCGUGGGGAGCGAACGGGAUUAGAUACCCCGGUAGUCCACGCCGUAAACGAUGUCUACUAGGUUGUGGAGGCUCUGACGCCCUCACGGCCGGAGCAAAAGUGUUAAGUAGACCGCCUGGGGAGUACGGCCGCAAGGCUAAAACUCAAAGGAAUUGACGGGGGCUCACACAAGCGGUGGAGCAUGUGGAUUAAUUCGAAUCAACGCGCAGAACCUUACCUGGGUUUGACAUGUUUGGAUGGUUGCCGGGAAACCGGUUAAUCUGCCUUCGGGUGAAACUUACACAGGUGCUGCAUGGCUGUCGUCAGCUCGUGUCGUGAGAUGUCGGGUUAAGUCCUCUAACGAGCGAAACCCUUACCGUUAGUUACCAGCGCGUUAUGGCGGGCACUCUAGCGGGACCGCCGGUGUUAAACCGGAGGAAGGCGGGGAUGACGUCAAGUCCUCAUGGCCUUUAUGCCCAGGGCUUCACACGUGCUACAAUGGCCACUACAGAGCGAAGCGAUACCGUGAGGUGGAGCAAAUCGCAAAAAAGUGGCCCCAGUUCGGAUUGCAGGCUGUCAACUCGCCUGCAUGAAGUCGGAAUCGCUAGUAAUCGCGUAUCAGCUACGACGCGGUGAAUGUGUUCCUGAGCCUUGUACACACCGCCCGUCAAGUGAUGGGAGUUGGGAGUACCCGAAGUCGGAUUGCUAACCCCUCGGGGGAGCGUCUGCCGACGGUAAGCUCGAUGACUGGCACUAAGUCGUAACAAGGUA
rnacentral:rRNA from 1 species